rnacentral:rRNA from 1 species
UACGUAGGGUGCAAGCGUUAAUCGGAAGUACUGGGCGUAAAGCGCGCGUAGGCGGUGAUCUUUGUCAGAGGUGAAAUCCCGAGGCUCAACUUCGGAAUUGCCUUUGAAACGGGAUCGCUUGAGUCCGAGAGAGGAUGGCGGAAUUCCUAGUGUAGAGGUGAAAUUCGUAGAUAUUAGGAAGAACACCGGUGGCGAAGGCGGCCAUCUGGCUCGGUACUGACGCUCAGGCGCGAAAGCGUGGGGAGCAAACAGG